AUGGCCACCAGGCUCAUUUUCUGCAUGGUCCUUUGUUUCUUGAGAGCAGAACCAACAAAUGCUGGAGUCACUCAAACACCCAGGCACAAGGUAACAGUGAAGGGACAAGAAGUAACUCUGAGCUGUGAGCCAAUUUCAGGACACAGUAGUAUUUCCUGGUACAGACAGACCACUGUGCAGGGCCUGGAGUUCCUGAUUAACUUUCGCAACCAGGCUCCUAUAGAUGAUACAGGGAUGCCCAAAGAACGAUUCUCAGUUCAGAUGCCCAGCAAGAAUCUCUCCACCGUGAAGAUCCAGCCCACACAACCCCAGGACUCAGCUGUGUAUCUGUGUGCCAGCAGCUUAGCCACAGAGCCUCAGAAUCAUAUCCUGCCAGGGCAGAAACCACAUGCUCCCUGUUCUCUUUCCAUCUCUCAGAAUCAGUUCUCAACAGUGAUCCUGAGGUCUUCUCACAACAGGAAGGAUGUGGGUCUAGUAUCUUCUCUGCCCUGA